rnacentral:rRNA from 1 species
UACAGAGGGUGCAAGCGUUAAUCGGAAUUACUGGGCGUAAAGCGCGCGUAGGUGGUUCGUUAAGUUGGAUGUGAAAUCCCCGGGCUCAACCUGGGAACUGCAUUCAAAACUGUCGAGCUAGAGUAUGGUAGAGGGUGGUGGAAUUUCCUGUGUAGCGGUGAAAUGCGUAGAUAUAGGAAGGAACACCAGUGGCGAAGGCGACCACCUGGACUGAUACUGACACUGAGGCGCGAAAGCGUGGGGAUCAAACAGG